rnacentral:rRNA from 1 species
AUGAUGAUGAAUUGCCCUGGUCCUAUCCUCUCCGAGCCGUCUGAUUUGGCAACGGAGGGCCAGGAUCGGCAGCUCGUACGGAUAACCCCUCGCAGUGCACCUACCGUAGUUAUGGGACGCAACAUUGACAUGCAUGCAAAUGCUGCUGGAAUAAGCGUACGCAUGAUGCCGGAUCCACGUGUCCAUGCAGGAAUUCGGUCCAUGCACCGUCGCCUUCGGACCUAUUCUGUGUUUGCCCAUGCCUUCCACUUCCAGCCUACUUUUGUGUAUGCCUUGUUGUUUAUGUGUCUCGGCACGAGACAGGCUGAGAAUCACCGGGUGGGUCGUGCAAAAAUCAUGCUGUUUGGAAUAGAUGGCUCGAUUGAUUUGUCAGUCCAUUAA